rnacentral:rRNA from 1 species
AACGAACGCUGGCGGCGUGCUUAACACAUGCAAGUCGAACGCGAAAGGGACUUCGGUCCUGAGUAAAGUGGCGCACGGGUGAGUAACGCGUGGAUAAUCUACCCGAUGGACCGGGAUAACAUUUCGAAAGGGGUGCUAAUACCGGAUAAGACCACGGCUUCUUAGGGGGCUGCGGUAAAAGGUGGGGACCUUCGGGCCUACCGUCAUCGGAUGAGUCCGCGUACCAUUAGCUAGUUGGUAGGGUAAGGGCCUACCAAGGCGACGAUGGUUAGCUGGUCUGAGAGGAUGAUCAGCCACACUGGAACUGAGACACGGUCCAGACUCCUACGGGAGGCAGCAGUGGGGAAUUUUGCGCAAUGGGGGAAACCCUGACGCAGCAACGCCGCGUGAGUGAUGAAGGCCUUCGGGUCGUAAAGCUCUGUCAGAGGGGAAGGAAAUGCAGGGGUGGCUAAUAUCAUCUUUGCUUGUACGGUACCCUCCAAAGGAAGCACCGGCUAACUCCGUGCCAGCAGCCGCGGUAAACGU